GGGCCCGCACAAGCGGUGGAGCAUGUGGUUUAAUUCGAUGCAACGCGAAGAACCUUACCAGGGCUUGACAUACUACAAAUUCUUUUGAGAAAGAGAAGUGCCUUCGGGAAUGUAGAUACAGGUGGUGCAUGGCUGUCGUCAGCUCGUGUCGUGAGAUGUUGGGUUAAGUCCCGCAACGAGCGCAACCCUUAUUUUUAGUUACCAAUUCGUUGGGUUUUUUAGAAAGACUGCCGGUGUACAAACCGGAGGAAGGUGAGGAUGACGUCAAGUCAGCAUGCCCCUUAUGUCCUGGGCUACACACGUGCUACAAUGGUUAAGACAAAGAGUCGCAAGCUCGCGAGAGUUAG
rnacentral:rRNA from 1 species